CGGGCAGUGGCGCAGGUUGGUAGCGCGCUUCGUUCGGGACGAAGAGGUCGUGGGUUCAAAUCCCGCCUGCCCGACCA
rnacentral:tRNA from 8 species